rnacentral:tRNA from 1 species
UCCAUUAUGGCAGAAUUCAGUGCAGUGAAUUUAAGAUUCAUAUAUAAAUAUUUUAUUUUCUUGGAA